CCAGAAUCAAUAACACGCUCUUGGACAACCACAAGGGAAACCACGACAGGGCACUGAGCAGGAUGAGAACUGGGCCUAAAUACCCCUCCUCUAGGUCUGAUAGGCUGUAACCGGCCUUUGACCCCAAAGGCAGUUAACAGAUCUCAUUUGCAUAAUUGCUGCUCAGCAAUAACCCUUCUGUGGAUUUGGUUGUUGCUCGGCACAACUUUUCCUGUGUGGACAGUAAAUGUCAUUAACCACAUUUUUGUAAGC
rnacentral:lncRNA from 1 species